UACGUAGGGGGCGAGCGUUGUCCGAAGUUACUGGGCGUAAAGCGCGCGUAGGCGGGCCGUUAAGUGGGAGGUGAAAGGCCGGGGCUCAACCCCGUGCAGUGCCUCCCAUACUGGCGGUCUUGAGGGCGGUAGGGAGGAGCGGAAUGGCUGGUGUAGCGGUGAAAUGCGUAGAGAUCAGCAGGAAUACCCGUGGCGAAGGCGGCCCCCUGGGCCGACCCUGACGCUGAGGCGCGAAGGCUAGGGGAGCGAACGGG
rnacentral:rRNA from 1 species